rnacentral:rRNA from 1 species
GACGAACGCUGGCGGCGUGCUUAACACAUGCAAGUCGAACGGAAAGGCCUCUUUCGGGGGGUACUCGAGUGGCGAACGGGUGAGUAACACGUGAGUAACCUGCCCUUGACUUUGGGAUAACUUCAGGAAACUGGGGCUAAUACCGGAUAGGAGCUCCUGCUGCAUGGUGGGGGUUGGAAAGUUUCGGCGGUUGGGGAUGGACUCGCGGCUUAUCAGCUUGUUGGUGGGGUAGUGGCUUACCAAGGCUUUGACGGGUAGCCGGCCUGAGAGGGUGACCGGCCACAUUGGGACUGAGAUACGGCCCAGACUCCGACGGGAGGCAGCAGUGGGGAAUAUUGCACAAUGGGUGGAAGCCGGAUGCAGCAACGCCGUGUGCGGGAGGACGGCCUUCGGGUUGGAAACCGCUUUCGCUCAUGACGAAGCUUUGUGUGACGGUAGUGGGUAAAGAAGCACCGGCUAACUACGUG